rnacentral:rRNA from 1 species
GCAGCCGCGGUAAUACGGAAGGUCUGAGCGUUAUCCGGAUUUAUUGGGUUUAAAGGGUGCGUAGGCGGGCGUUUAAGUCAGCGGUGAAAGUUUGCGGCUCAACCGUAAAAUUGCCGUUGAUACUGGAUGUCUUGAGUGCAGAGGAGGUAGGCGGAAUUCGUCGUGUAGCGGUGAAAUGCGUAGAUAUGACGAAGAACACCAAUUGCGUAGGCAGCUUACCAUAGUGCAACUGACGCUGAGGCACGAAAGUGUGGGUAUCAAACAGGAUUAGAUACCCC